rnacentral:pre_miRNA from 1 species
AGCCUCGUCAGGCUCAGUCCCCUCCCGAUAAACCCCUAAAUAGGGACCUUCCCGGGGACCGACCUCGGCUUUUUUGGCG